rnacentral:ncRNA from 20 species
CUCUUAUGAAGAGCGGCGGAGGGAAGUGCCCUAUGAAGCCCGGCAACCAUCACAUAGUGAAAAGGUGCCAAAUCACCCAAAGAUUUUUCUUUGAAAGAUGAGAG